rnacentral:rRNA from 1 species
UACGGAGUAUCCAAGCGUUAUCCGGAUUUAUUGGGUUUAAAGGGUGCGUAGGCGGAUUGAUAAGUUAGAGGUGAAAUGUCCGAGCUCAACUCGGGAACUGCCUCUAAUACUGUUGAUCUAGAGAGUAGAUGCGGUAGGCGGAAUGUAUGGUGUAGCGGUGAAAUGCUUAGAGAUCAUACAGAACACCGAUUGCGAAGGCAGCUUACCAAUCUAUAUCUGACGUUGAGGCACGAAAGCGUGGGGAGCAAACAGG